rnacentral:rRNA from 1 species
AGCAGCCGCGGUAAUUCCAGCUCCAAUAGCGUAUAUUAAAGUUGUUGCAGUUAAAAAGCUCGUAGUUGAAUUUCGGGAUUGGCGCAUCGGUCGUGCCUUACGGGGUAUGAACUGGUGCAGUCAAUUUCUCACCUUCUGGAGAACCGCGAUGUCCUUAAUUGGGUGCCGCGGGGAACCAGGACCUUUACUUUGAAAAAAUUGAGUGUUUAAAGCAGGCAUUUUUGCUUGAAUACAUUAGCAUGGAAUAAUAAAUAGGACGGCAUGGUUCUAUUUUGUUGGUUUCUAGGACCACCGUAAUGAUUAAUAGGGAUAGUUGGGGGCAUUAGUAUUCAAUUGUCAGAGGUGAAAUUCUUGGAUUUAUUGAAGACUAACUACUGCGAAAGCAUUUGCCAAGGAUGUUUUCAUUAAUCAAGAACGAAAGUUAGGGGAUCGAAGACGAUCAGAUACCGUCGUAGCCUUAACCAUAAACUAUGCCGACUAGGAAUCAGACGAUGUUAAUUUUUAAUGACUCGUUUGGCAC